GACGAACGCUGGCGGCGUGCUUAACACAUGCAAGUCGAACGGGCUGCCUGGUUUUCGGAUCGGGUGGUGAGUGGCGAACGGGUGAGUAACACGUGAGUAACCUGCCCCUCUCUUUGGGAUAACGUCGGGAAAUCGGCGCUAAUACCGGGUAUUCUGGCUUCCUCGCAUGGGGUUGUUGGGAAAGGUUUUUUCUGGUGGGGGAUGGGCUCGCGGCCUAUCAGCUUGUUGGUGGGGUGAUGGCCUACCGAGGCGGUGACGGGUAGCCGGCCUGAGAGGGUGUCCGGCCACACUGGGACUGAGACACGGCCCAGACUCCUACGGGAGGCAGCAGUGGGGAAUAUUGCACAAUGGGCGGAAGCCUGAUGCAGCGACGCCGCGUGGGGGAUGACGGCCUUCGGGUUGUAAACCUCUUUCAGUGCAGAACAAGGCUCUUUGUGGGUUGAGGGUAUGCGCAGAAGAAGCGCCGGCUAACUACGUG
rnacentral:rRNA from 1 species